rnacentral:rRNA from 1 species
AGAGUUUGAUCCUGGCUCAGAAUCAACGCUGGCGGCGUGCCUAACACAUGCAAGUCGCACGAGAAAGUGGGGGCAACUCCAUGAGUAAAGUGGCGUACGGGUGAGUAACACGUGACUAACCUACCUCCGAAUGGGGAAUAACACCGGGAAACCGGUGCUAAUACCGCAUAACAUCUACGGAUCAAAGCAGCAAUGCGUUUGGAGAGGGGGUCGCGGCUGAUUAGCUAGUUGGUAAGGUAAUGGCUUACCAAGGCGACGAUCAGUAUCCGGCCUGAGAGGGCGCACGGACACACUGGAACUGAAACACGGUCCAGACUCCUACGGGAGGCAGCAGUGGGGAAUUUUGCGCAAUGGGGGAAACCCUGACGCAGCAACGCCGCGUGGGGGAUGAAGGUCUUUGGAUUGUAAACUCCUUUCGAUCGGGACGAUUAUGACGGUACCGGAAGAAGAAGCACCGGCUAACUCUGUGCCAGCAGCCGCGGUAAUACAGAGGGUGCAAGCGUUGUUCGGAAUUAUUGGGCGUAAAGGGCGCGUAGGCGGUGCGGUAGGUCUCUAGUGAAUUCUCAGGGCUCAACUCGGAGCCUGCUAGGGAAACUGCCGUGCUUGAGUGUGGGAGAGGUGAGUGGAAUACCGGNGUA